AACGAACGCUGGCGGCAUGCCUAACACAUGCAAGUCGAACGAGCCCUUCGGGUUUAGUGGCGCACGGGUGCGUAACGCGUGGGAACCUGCCCUUAGGUUCGGAAUAACUCCCCGAAAGGGGUGCUAAUACCGGAUAAUGUCUUCGGACCAAAGAUUUAUCGCCUUUGGAUGGGCCCGCGUUGGAUUAGCUAGUUGGUAGGGUAAAAGCCUACCAAGGCGACGAUCCAUAGCUGGUCUGAGAGGAUGAUCAGCCACACUGGGACUGAGACACGGCCCAGACUCCUACGGGAAGCAGCAGUGGGGAAUAUUGGACAAUGGGCGAAAGCCUGAUCCAGCAAUGCCGCGUGAGUGAUGAAGGCCUUAGGGUUGUAAAGCUCUUUUACCCGGGAUGAUAAUGACAGUACCGGGAGAAUAAGCUCCGGCUAACUCCGUG
rnacentral:rRNA from 1 species